rnacentral:rRNA from 1 species
AAACCAACUGGGAUUACCUUAGUAACGGCGAGUGAAGCGGUAAAAGCUCAAAUUUGAAAUCUGGUACUUUCAGUGCCCGAGUUGUAAUUUGUAGAAUUUGUCUUUGAUUAGGUCCUUGUCUAUGUUCCUUGGAACAGGACGUCAUAGAGGGUGAGAAUCCCGUUUGGCGAAGAUACCUUUUCUCUGUAAGACUUUUUCGAAGAGUCGAGUUGUUUGGGAAUGCAGCUCAAAGUGGGUGGUAAAUUCCAUCUAAAGCUAAAUAUUGGCGAGAGACCGAUAGCGAACAAGUACAGUGAUGGAAAGAUGAAAAGAACUUUGAAAAGAGAGUGAAAAAGUACGUGAAAUUGUUGAAAGGGAAGGGCAUUUGAUCAGACAUGGUGUUUUUGCAUGCACUCGCCUCUCGUGGGCUUGGGCCUCUCAAAAAUUUCACUGGGCCAACAUCAAUUCUGGCAGUAGGAUAAAUCAUUAAGAAUGUAGCUACCUCGGUAGUGUUAUAGCUUAUUGGAAUACUGCU